rnacentral:rRNA from 1 species
AACGAACGCUGGCGGCAGGCUUAACACAUGCAAGUCGAGCGCCCCGCAAGGGGAGCGGCAGACGGGUGAGUAACGCGUGGGAAUCUACCCAUCUCUACGGAAUAACGCAUGGAAACGUGUGCUAAUACCGUAUACGUCCUUCGGGAGAAAGAUUUAUCGGAGAUGGAUGAGCCCGCGUUGGAUUAGCUAGUUGGUGGGGUAAAGGCCUACCAAGGCGACGAUCCAUAGCUGGUCUGAGAGGAUGAUCAGCCACACUGGGACUGAGACACGGCCCAGACUCCUACGGGAGGCAGCAGUGGGGAAUAUUGGACAGUGGGCGCAAGCCUGAUCCAACCAUGCCGCGUGAGUGAUGAAGGCCCUAGGGUUGUAAAGCUCUUUCACCGGUGAAGAUAAUGACGGUAACCGGAGAAGAAGCCCCGGCUAACUUCGUGCCAGCAGCCGCCGUAACAC